UAUAUGUAUAUAUAUAUUAGACAUUAAUAUUUUACCUUUUCAGUUCUUUAGUUCAAGCAAAGAAAUUGCCUUCUAGAGUAUCAGUAAACACAGCUCAAGAAGUUUCUCAAAGCAAGUUGGGUAACCACCUAGCAGCAUCUUCUCGUGCCAGGGUCUCUCAUCCAGUUUCAAAAUUACAAACAGAUCAGUCUGCAACCCUGAAUAGAAAGCUGGUGCGUAGAUCUAUACCUGCUUUCCAGAGAUGUAACAAUAAUCAAGAAACUAUCAAAAAAGACAAGAGCAAUUUUCUUCCAUUAAAGGAAAUGGCUGGUCAGAGAGUAUGCAAUGUAAAUGCUAACUCAUCUAGUGCUGUGCUACAGAAUAAUAAUACUAACAAAGUACUAAAUGGUUAUCAAAAUAUUGUUACCAAGAGCGCUUCAUUAGUGAGGAAGCUGAAAAGUCCAUGUCGAUAUUCUAAACCAUGAUUCAUUUUUCUAUAAUUAUUAUUGCUAUGGCUACCUUUUUAUUAGUUGUUAUUGUAGUAUUAAUAUUUACAAUAAAAAUUAAUUUGGCAUUGGA